rnacentral:rRNA from 1 species
GGGGAAUUUUACGCAAUGGGGGAAACCCUGACGUAGCGACACCGCGUGAGCGAAGAAGCCCUUUGGGGUGUAAAGCUCUGUCAGAUGGAACGAAACAAAUGACGGUACCAUCAGAGGAAGCAUCGGCUAACUACGUGCCAGCAGCCGCGGUAAGACGUAGGAUGCGAGCGUUGUCCGGAUUUAUUGGGCGUAAAGAGUUCGUAGGUGGUUUGUUAAGUUUGGUGUUAAAGAUCGGGGCUCAACCCUGGGACUGCACUGAAUACUGGCAGACUUGAGUGUGGUAGAGGCUAGUGGAAUUCCCAGUGUAGCGGUGAAAUGCGUAGAUAUUGGGAAGAACACCGGUGGCGUAGGCGACUAGCUGGGCCAUAACUGACGCUGAGGAACGAAAGCCAGGGGAGCGAAUGGGA